GAUGAAGAACGCAGCGAAAUGCGAUACUUGGUGUGAAUUGCAGAAUCCCGUGAACCAUCGAGUCUUUGAACGCAAGUUGCGCCCGAAGCCACUAGGCCGAGGGCACGCCUGCCUGGGCGUCACACGCCGUUGCCCCCCCAUCUACUCCUUCGGGAUUGCGGGGGGGCGGAUGAUGGUCUCCCGUGCGCCUAGCCGCGCGGUUGGCAUAAAUACCAAGUCCUCGGCGACGCACGCCACGACAAUCGGUGGUUGCGAAACCUCGGUUGCCCGUCGUGUGCGUUCGUCGCGCAUCGAGGGCUCGAAAAAAUGCUCGGCUCCGGCUGGGCUUUCAACGCGACCCCAGGUCAGGCGGGGUUACCCGCUGAAUUUAAGCAUAUCAAUAAGCGGAGGA
rnacentral:misc_RNA from 1 species